ensembl:misc_RNA Metazoa_SRP Metazoan signal recognition particle RNA
GCUGGGCAUGGUUGCACAUGCCUGUAAUCUCAGCUACUUGGGAGGCUGAGGCAGGAGAAUCACUUGAACCCGGGAGGCUGAGGUUGCAGUGAGCCGAGAUCACGCCACUGCACUCCAGCCUGGUUGACAGAGUGAGAUUCUGUCUCCA